rfam:Arabis alpina cultivar Pajares chromosome 1, whole genome shotgun sequence.
UUUUCAGAUGAUGAGAUUUGAUCUAAAAUUCUCACGACGGUCGUCUGAGACUUUGUGUCGAUUGAUGUACCGAUCACACCUCUCUGAUGAAA